GGCCGCACCUGCAGCAUUUGGAGGUUCCCAGGCUAGGGGUCAAAUCAGAGCUGCAGCUGCCAGCCACAGCCACAGCCACGCCAGAUCCCAGCCACGUCUAUGACCUAUACCACAGUUCAUGGCAACGCUGGAUCCUCAGCCCACUGAGUGAGGCCAGGGAUUGAACAUGCGUCCUGGAUGCUAGUCAGAUUCAUUUCCACUGAGCCACCACGGGAACUCCGAAAACACUUUUUUUCUAUUUCUUUAAUGUUGCAUCUGUGUGAGAUGAUGUAUAAUCACUAAACUUAUCAUGGUCAUCAUUUCAUGAUGUAUGUGAGUCAAAUCAUUAUGCCGCACCCCCUACACUCAUACAGUGCUGUCUGUCUAUCACAUAGCAAUAAAACUGUAAGAAAAAACAAAAGAAUGGGGAAUCACGAUUUCUGUCCUGUCUACAUUUCAGAGAUUUGAUGACAUUCAAUCAAUGGGUAGGGAAAGAACUUGGAAAAGGAUAAAGAAACAUGGGCACAGAUAAUACAGUAUAUUCUGAUUUUGAAAACCUUGAAGUAUAGAAAUGUAGCUAAAUAAUCAGCAUUGUUCAGUGAGGUGAAGAUUUGGAUGUGCUAGAUUUAUGUUUUAAUAUUAUUUUUCUUUUUAUGGCUGCACCUGAAGCAUAUGAAAGUUUCCCGGGCUAGGGGUCGAAUUGGAGCUGCAGCUGCCAGCCAAUGCCACAGCCACUGCAAUGCCAGAUCUGAGCGGCAUUUGUGACCUAUGCCACAGCUUGCAGCAACGCCAGAUCCCUAACCCACUGAGUGAGGCCAGGGAUCGAACCCGCAUCCUCAUGGACACAAUGUCAGGUUCUUAACCUGCUGAGCCACAACAGGAACUCCCUCUAUUUAUUAAGUAGUUAAUGUAAUAUAUACUCAUUAUAUAAAAUAAUUUAAUGUGACAUUAAUUACUCUUAAAAGGACUUUACAGGCAUAACUAGAGUAACGUCCUUUCUAGAACGCACACUGACAUGGUUAAGAGCUGCUUAAACUUGGGAUUGAUGCCCUUCUGUGCUUCUCCCCACAUCUCCCAGGUUUUCUGCAUGUACACUUUUGGCUGCUCUCCUACAAACCCCACAUUGGGUAUUGCCAAGUGCCCUGUGUUAGCCUUCUCUUGCAGAAGUCCCCAGAGUUUCCAGUACAAGGAAGCAUUUUACAAUGUUAACUCUUUCUGUGCAGCCCCACAAGGAUAAUGACCUCCUGACAUCUAUUGACUGAGAACCUACUCGAUGACAACGGGACAUAACAAAUUCAUGGAAUCUUUUAAAUGGAUUUAUGGUUUAUCAAUUACAACUGCAUCCAAAUGCUUUUGGAAAAUACACAGACUUGUUUAAGACAAAAUUCUACGAGGCAUGUAUAUGAACGCUCAGGAAAUAUUUGUCCAAUAAAUGCACAGAGAAGAAGAGAAUGACAAUGUGCAGGCAAUGCUCAUGGCAUCUGUGGAUUUGCGACCCUUUUGUCAAAACUCGAUCCCUAUCCCCUGCCCUGAGGGCCAGAGCUCAGAUCUUGGAAACCUCUUGAAUGGCUUCCCAAAUACCCAGUAUACAAUAGGCACUCAAUAGUUGUGUACUGAAUGUAUGUAUAGAUAAAUGCUACUCAUCUCUGUCUCUUGCUUUGGCUGCACCCGCAGCAUGCAGAAGUUCCUGGGACAGGGAUUGAACCCAAGCCACAGCAGUGAGUGUCGGAUUCCUGGCCUGCUGUGCCACCAGGGAACUCCCAACAGAACCCAACACUGUACUGAGGGAAAGCCGCCUGCUUGCAAAUUAAAAAGGAACUUGACUAGUAUCAUCUACCAACAGAUGCAUUUCUGGAGGACCUUAUUAAAAAAGGAAAUAUCUUUAAACUACCCAGAUGGGGUAGAGAGGCUUUGAUUUCAGAAAACUCCGUGUGUUUCUCUGAAAGGGUAUGUGAAAGAGAGUACGGAGUUAGAAAAGCAUGAGGAGAAGGGGAAGGGCCUACAAAGCAGUGCUGUUGGCUCAAAGGCAGGGAGAGCAUCUAGUCAGUGGCACAGAAGCCUCAUCCUUUGAACCCUGUCUCUGCUGAGAAACCUACGGUCUCAUCAGAGAGGAGACUAUGGGAACAGAACACUCUGAACUGGAGUGGAGUCUGAACUGGCAGUCCAUCACGUCUUGAAAUGGCAGUGGCAAAAAGCAAUUUCCUUAUUCAUAAAUCAUGAAUGAAAGCCUAUUAAAUAUUUUUAUGGGCAAUGUGACAUCGAGAAUUCAUCAGCAGACUCACUCACCUCAACAAAGCUGGGUAGAGCAGUCCAAUCAUCUUGAAGGGAAACUCUUAACACCGGUUCCUCUUGGGGGCUCGAGUGUCAUCAAACACUGCCAAGACAGCCUGGUGCACCCUGAAUCUGAU
ensembl:lncRNA